UACGGAGGAUCCGAGCGUUAUCCGGAUUUACUGGGUGUAAAGGGAGCGUAGGUGGCAAGGCAAGUCAGAUGUGAAAACCCGGGGCCCAACCCCGGGAGUGCAUUUGAAACUGUCUGGCUAGAGUGCAGGAGAGGUAAGUGGAAUUCCUAGUGUAGCGGUGAAAUGCAUAGAUAUUAGGAGGAACACCAGUGGCGAAGGCGACUUUCUGGACUGUAACUGACGCUGAGGCACGAAAGUGUGGGGAGCAAACAGG
rnacentral:rRNA from 1 species